ensembl:lncRNA
CAGAGACUAAGAUAGCUUUAAGAUAAGCAGAUAAGACAAACUUUAUUGUCUAGUACGUUUAAACAGAAUGAAAAUGUGUCAUUGACGGUCAGAGUUACAAUAAAAGGAUAAAAAAAUAGGGAUAAAACAAACACGUCAAACAUUUACCUGUCAGACUGAAAUGUCAGAAUGAAACACAUCAAACAUCUACCAGUCAGACUGAAAUGUCAGAAUGAAACACAUUAAAUAUUUACAUGUCAGAAUGCAAUGUCAGAAUGAAACACAUUAAAUAUUUACAUGUCAGAAUGCAACACAAUAAAUAUUUACGUCUGAAUGAAACACAUUAAAUAUUUACGUCUGAAUGAAACACAUGAAAUAAACAUUUACAUGUCAGAAUGAAAUGUCAGAAUGAAACACAUGAAAUAUUUACGUCAGAAUGAAACACAUGAAAUAUUUACAUGUCAGAAUGAAACACAUGAAAUAUUUACGUCAGAAUGAAAUGUCAGAAUGAAACACAUGAAAUAUUUACAUGUCAGAAUGAAACACAAAUAUUUACAUGACAGAAUGAAAUGUCGGAAUGAAACCCAUUUUUAAAAUUUUAUUUCACCUUUAUUUAACCAGGUAGGCGAGUUGAGAUCAAGUUCUCAUUUGCAACUGCGACCUGGCCAAGAUAAAGCAAAGCAGUGUGACACAGACAACACAGAGUUACACAUGGAAUAAACAAUAAACAAGCCAGUAACAAGCCAAUAAACAAAUCAAUGACACAGUAGAAAAAAUAAAGUCUAUAUACAGUGUGUGCAAAAGGCAUGAGGAGGUAGGGAAUAAAUAGGCCAUAGGAGCGAAUGAUUACAAUUGAGCAGAUUAACACUGGAGUGAUAAAUGAGCAGAUGAUGAUGUGCAAGUAGAGAUACUGGUGUACAAAAGAGCAGAAAAGUCAAUAAAAUAAAAACAUGACACAUUUACAUGUCAGAAUGAAACAAACAUUUACAGUGGGGAGAACAAGUAUUUGAUACACUGCCGAUUUUUCAGGUUUUCCUACUUACAAAGCAUGUAGAGGUCUGUCAUUUUCAUCAUAGGUACACUUCAACUGUGAGAGGCGGAAUCUAAAACAAAAAUCCAGAAAAUCACUUUGUAUGAUUUUUAAGUAAUUCAUUAGCAUUUUAUUGCAUGACAUAAGUAUUUGAUCACCUACCAACCAGUAAGAAUUCC